rnacentral:rRNA from 1 species
UACGUAGGGGUCGAGCGUUGUCCGGAUUUAUUGGGCGUAAAGGGUGGGCAGGUGGCCGGGGAUGUGCCGUGUGAAAGCGCCGUAGUAAUGACGGCGAGGUCGCGGUAGACACUCCGGCUUGAGUGUCGGAGAGGGAAGCGGAAUUCCUGGUGUAGAGGUGAAAUUCGUAGAUAUCAGGAGGAACACCGGUGGCGAAGGCGGC